ensembl:snRNA U5 U5 spliceosomal RNA
AUACUCUGGUUUCUCUUGGGAUUGUACAAAUAAAGAUUUACGUGGAGAGGAACAAUUCUGAGUUUAUACCUAAUUUUUGGAGGCCUUGUUCUUACAAGGCU